GAUGAACGCUGGCGGCGUGCCUAAUACAUGCAAGUCGAGCGAACGGACGAGAAGCUUGCUUCUCUGAUGUUAGCGGCGGACGGGUGAGUAACACGUGGAUAACCUACCUAUAAGACUGGGAUAACUUCGGGAAACCGGAGCUAAUACCGGAUAAUAUUUUGAACCGCAUGGUUCAAAAGUGAAAGACGGUCUUGCUGUCACUUAUAGAUGGAUCCGCGCUGCAUUAGCUAGUUGGUAAGGUAACGGCUUACCAAGGCAACGAUGCAUAGCCGACCUGAGAGGGUGAUCGGCCACACUGGAACUGAGACACGGUCCAGACUCCUACGGGAGGCAGCAGUAGGGAAUCUUCCGCAAUGGGCGAAAGCCUGACGGAGCAACGCCGCGUGAGUGAUGAAGGUCUUCGGAUCGUAAAACUCUGUUAUUAGGGAAGAACAUAUGUGUAAGUAACUGUGCACAUCUUGACGGUACCUAAUCAGAAAGCCACGGCUAACUACGUGCCAGCAGCCGCGGUAAUACGUAGGUGGCAAGCGUUAUCCGGAAUUAUUGGGCGUAAAGCGCGCGUAGGCGGUUUUUUAAGUCUGAUGUGAAAGCCCACGGCUCAACCGUGGAGGGUCAUUGGAAACUGGAAAACUUGAGUGCAGAAGAGGAAAGUGGAAUUCCAUGUGUAGCGGUGAAAUGCGCAGAGAUAUGGAGGGACACCAGUGGCGAAGGCGACUUUCUGGUCCGUAACUGACGCUGAUGUGCGAAAGCGUGGGGAUCAAACAGGAUUAGAUACCCUGGUAGUCCACGCCGUAAACGAUGAGUGCUAAGUGUUAGGGGGUUUCCGCCCCUUAGUGCUGCAGCUAACGCAUUAAGCACUCCGCCUGGGGAGUACGACCGCAAGGUUGAAACUCAAAGGAAUUGACGGGGACCCGCACAAGCGGUGGAGCAUGUGGUUUAAUUCGAAGCAACGCGAAGAACCUUACCAAAUCUUGACAUCCUUUGACAACUCUAGAGAUAGAGCCUUCCCCUUCGGGGGACAAAGUGACAGGUGGUGCAUGGUUGUCGUCAGCUCGUGUCGUGAGAUGUUGGGUUAAGUCCCGCAACGAGCGCAACCCUUAAGCUUAGUUGCCAUCAUUAAGUUGGGCACUCUAAGUUGACUGCCGGUGACAAACCGGAGGAAGGUGGGGAUGACGUCAAAUCAUCAUGCCCCUUAUGAUUUGGGCUACACACGUGCUACAAUGGACAAUACAAAGGGCAGCGAAACCGCGAGGUCAAGCAAAUCCCAUAAAGUUGUUCUCAGUUCGGAUUGUAGUCUGCAACUCGACUACAUGAAGCUGGAAUCGCUAGUAAUCGUAGAUCAGCAUGCUACGGUGAAUACGUUCCCGGGUCU
rnacentral:rRNA from 1 species